rnacentral:rRNA from 1 species
CGGAAGAGGAUGGGCAUGCGGCGCAUUAGCUAGACGGCGGGGUAACGGCCCACCGUGGCGACGAUGCGUAGGGGUUCUGAGAGGAAGGUCCCCCACACUGGUACUGAGACACGGACCAGACUCCUACGGGAGGCAGCAGUGAGGAAUAUUGGUCAAUGGGAGAGAUCCUGAACCAGCCAAGCCGCGUGAGGGAAGACGGCCCUAUGGGUUGUAAACCUCUUUUGUCGGAGAACAAAACCCGGGACGUGUCCCGGACUGCGUGUAUCCGAAGAAAAAGCAUCGGCUAACUCCGUGCCAGCAGCCGCGGUAAUACGGAGGAUGCGAGCGUUAUCCGGAUUUAUUGGGUUUAAAGGGUGCGUAGGCGGUCCGUUAAGUCAGCGGUAAAAUUGCGGGGCUCAACCCCGUCGAGCCGUUGAAACUGGCAGACUUGAGUUGGCGAGAAGUACGCGGAAUGCGCGGUGUAGCGGUGAAAUGCAUAGAUAUCGCGCAGAACUCCGAUUGCGAAGGCAGCGUACCGGCGCCAGACUGACGCUGAGGCACGAAAGCGUGGGGAUCGAACAGGAUUAGAUACCCUGGUAGUCCACGCAGUAAACGAUGAAUGCUGGUUGUCCGGGUCGAAUGAGAUCUGG